CUUUCAACUGCCUUGAGGGGUGGCACAAAGAGGACUCCACACACAGGGAUGCUUAGCUGGGUCUUGAAAGAGAGGAAGCAUCAGGCCACAUGGUGCAGUGGGAAUAGAAGCCCCUCAGGAGGCCGACCCCACAUAGGUCACAGUCGGCCUUGCUUUAUCGCAAGGGAAGGCACUUGUAAUGGAAGAACAAACCCUUGAAACAAACAAGUAUAAAUGAAUUCACUGAAAAACAGUUUGGUCAAUGACAGUAUCUGGGAAUUGGAGACGUAUUUCUCCUUUCCCCUCUGGCGUCUGGGAAAGCAAAUAGCCCUAAUAGAGACCAGCAAAUAACAGCUAUAAAAACGAAAGCCUGUGCACAGGGCUGAAGAGAGAUGUCAGCUCUGAGAAGGAAAAGAGAAAGAACUGGAAGUGGAGCGGAGCAAGGAAAUACAGGUUUAAGCCUACAAGGCACAGGUGGAAUUUUUACAUUAAGCAAGUGAGAGACUACAGGGGAAAAGCAGGAUGACUUCCUUUUUUUAAUGACAGAAUCAAUAGAAUCUAAUCAAGUUUUCAAUGCAAUUGUGGUAAGAUGAGGAAUGCUAAGUGGAUCCACAUAGCAGAAGGCAGUAACUAGAACAUAAUCAUGUCCAGAGGGGAUCACCAGAGUGAUGUUCCACACUUCUAAGCCCCACUGGGGAGAGAGACUGAAAUGAAGGAAGGGUGAUGUGGGCCCAGGUUCACAGCCCCGAGUUUUGAUGCCUUGUUUUGUGUUGAUUUUAUCCCUUUUCUCUGUAGAGCUCCCCUGGAACUAUUUUCAUCUAAGAAAGGAAAGGACGUCCUUUUGGAGAGAAGUAGUAAGGAGACCCACGGUCAGCUUUUGGGAUGCACAGAAUCAGAUAACACGCUCUGUUGGAAGAUGAUGAGGAGAAAUGCAGCUUUCAGGCUCAGGGGAGGCAAAGACUACCAGGACCCCAACCCUGGCCACCAAGUCCAACAGCCAAAGGAGCUUGACAUGAAGGAUGGAUGGUAUAUUAGAUUACACGCCAAAUGUGCUUUUAGGGGUGCUACUGGAAUUGAGAGACAACUACGAGGUAUCUCUUCUUCCUUUGAAUGUUUCAUGAAGGAGCUGGUAUUUUAUAAAAACAAGGAAGUUCAGAUCUACAAAAAAGCCUUGUGGAGAAGCAAGUAAAAAUAUACAACAAAUGGAGUUGUCCCCAUGUGAACAGACAUCUAAUCGUUUUUUCUCCUAUUCAUUUAUUCAAUGAAUAUUUAUUGACUUCAAAGAGCAUGUUCUUGACUGUGUUUGACCCUGCGUGAGCAAAAAUGCACCCAGUUUCUGCCCCCAUACUGCUUGAAAUCUAAUGGGAAAAUAAAAUUAAAUCCCAUGAAUUAUUAAAAACUGUUUUAAGUGCUGUCCUGAGAGGUACCCAGCUCUCCCUGAGUAGGAGGUUAGGGAGGCAGACCUUGAGGAAGGGAUGAUUAAGAUGAGAAUGGAAGGACGAGUCCGGAUCACUAGACAGGAGCAGACCAGGCAGAAGGAACUGGGUGUGUAAAACCUUAGAAGAGUCAGGGAACACUUGUCCCUAAAGAGAGACCGACUAAUGUGGCUGGGGGGUAGGAAGCAGAGGGAAUUGGGUGACAACAUGAGUCUGGGGAGGUGGACAGCAGCUAAAGGGCACAAGUCCAUGGCAGGUGUCCGUGGCAAGGACCAAGAGGGCUGGGAAGAGUUAAGAUGAUUGGGUCAGGAAGUACAGUGUAGAGGUAUAAGGCUAGAGCAGUAACUUCAAGAGCCGAAGGAGGAGGCAGGAGAUGAAGCUGUGAAAUGACAGGAGCACUAGUAACAACCAUGAAAAUAGCAUCUCCACCUUUUGAGGGCCCCAUUUUACCCAGACCUUGCUGGCAGAAGACAAGAUAAAGGGGAGACAAGGUCAGGAUCCAUUCACACAGAGCUACAGAUAACCCAGGACCUACCGAUUUCAUCUCUUACUCUCUCCUGUAGAAAUGUUCUUGUGCAUGAGUAGAUCCACUUGGGGAUGUUCAUCGCAGCAAGGACUGCAGUAAAACAAUAAGGGGCCCGUGAAUGCUGAUCCGUGUGGGAAGGAGUAAAUCAUCUUUGGCCCACCCUUACUGUGAUACAUGUGCGUGCGGUGAUGGAAGAGCAGAACCUCUGGGUGCUGAUGUGAAAGCUAAGACAUAGUGCUGGGGAGAAAACCCAAGGCAGGAUAGUACAUCACGGUGAUGUCAUUGCUGUAAAUGGAAAAAAGUAUGGCCUUCAGAAAAUACCACCCUAACCCCUUGUGAGGACAUAUCGAAUACUCACUCAAAUGCCCAGAAAAAUUUGUGGAAGGGUUUAGGGUAAACUGAAAGCUGUGGUUCCCUGGGAGAGGGGAGAGUCCUGGGGUUAAGGGAGGGUUUGGGGAACUUUGGCUUUAUCUGUACUGUCUUAAUUUGAUUAUGGAAACUCAAACAUAUGCAAACAUAGGGCACUGUUGUAAAUCCCCAAGGGCUGACACCCACACCCUCCCUCUUCCUGGACUAUUUUUAAGCACAUCCCUGACAUUGUAUUCCAUUCGUAAAUAUUUCAGUAAGUCUCUCUAACAGAUAGGAACCCUUUAAGCAAAACAUAACCGCAACACCAUGAUUGCAUCUAAAAACAUAUAUAACAAUUCCUGAAAAUUAUCAAAUGCCCAAUCAUUGUGCACAUUUCUGUUUUCUACUUACAGUUCAUUCAGAUCUGGACCCCAUAAGGUUUAUACAUUGCAACUAGUUGAUAAACCUCCUGACUUUUUGUUCUUAUUUGUUCUUUUUUUUGGUACCGGGGAUCAAACUCGGGACCUUGCGCUUGCCAGGCAGGCACCAGAACCACUGAGGUAAAUCCCCGGCACUUUUUGUUCAUUUGUGCCAGUUUAUCUCUGGGAUAGGUUACCAAAAGUGACUCCUCUGUGUCAAAGGACCAGGGCACAUGUAGUUUCACUGGCUGCUGUCAGAUUCCCCUCCCCAGGGUUGUGGCAUUUUGCAUCCCCACUGGCAGAGGGUGAGAAGGCCCAUGCCCCCACAGCUUCACCAGCAGACUGUAUUGUAAAACUUUAGGAUC
rnacentral:lncRNA from 1 species